GUCUAUGGCCAUACCACCCUGAACGUGCCCGAUCUCAUCUGAUCUCGGAAGCUAAACAGAGUUGGGCCUGGUUAGUACUUGGAUGGGAGACCGCCUAGGAAUACCGGGUGCUGUAGGCU
ensembl:rRNA n-R5s28 nuclear encoded rRNA 5S 28